GCGCCAAUGGUCUAGUGGUUAAGAUGGUUGCUUCCCAAGCAACUGACCCGUGUUCGAAUCACGGUUGGCGCA